rnacentral:rRNA from 1 species
AUUGAACGCUGGCGGCAUGCUUUACACAUGCAAGUCGAACGGCAGCGCGGGCUUCGGCCUGGCGGCGAGUGGCGAACGGGUGAGUAAUUCAUCGGAACGUGCCCAGUAGUGGGGGAUAGCCCGGCGAAAGCCGGAUUAAUACCGCAUACGACCUGAGGGUGAAAGCGGGGGACCGAAAGGCCUCGCUCUAUUGGAGCGGCCGAUGUCGGAUUAGCUAGUUGGUGGGGUAAAGGCUUACCAAGGCGACAAUCCGUAGCUGGUCUGAGAGGACGACCAGCCACACUGGGACUGAAACACGGCCCAGACUCCUACGGGAGGCAGCAGUGGGGAAUUUUGGACAAUGGGGGCAACCCUGAUCCAGCCAUGCCGCGUGCGGGAAGAAGGCCUUCGGGUUGUAAACCGCUUUUGUUCGGGAAGAAAUCCUCUGGGCUAAUACCCCGGGGGGAUGACGGUACCGGAAGAAUAAGCACCGGCUAACUACGUG